CUGGGGAGAUAAGCAAGUGGGUGUCAGGCAGAGGGAGGGAGGUGUCAACCACAGAGAAGAGCCAGGCAAGAGCACUGUCAGCCCCACCCUCAGCUCUGCCCGUGGAAGCACACCCCACACAGCUGCUUAAUCUCUAAGCCAGUGAUGUCCCAGAUCCCUUCUUGACCUGGAGUCCUUAGCUGGUGCCCCUCAAAAGUGUCCAUGUGGCAGAGGACCCAUAAGCUGGGCUCUCUGGGAAGUCAGCUGGCUGGCCUCAAGGCUGAAGUGCAAUGGCAUGAUCUCAGCUCACUGCAACCUCUGCCUCCUAAGUUCAAGUGAUUCUCCUGCCUCAACCUCUUAAGUAGCUGGGAUUACAGGCACCCACCACCAUGCCCGACUAAUUUUUGUAUUUUUAGCAGAGACAAGGUUUCACCAUGUUGGCCAGGCUGCUCUUGAACUCUUGACCUCAGGUGAUCCACCCGCCUCCGCCUCCCAAAGUGCUGGGAUUACAGGCGUGAGCCACGCCCGGCCAGGUCAUCUGAUCUCGAGUGAGUCAUUUUCCUUAUCUGAGUGUCAGUUUUCUUGCCUCUAAAAUGGGAAUAAUAGCAUUCAUCUCCCAGAGUCACUCUCCUGAGACAAAGCGUGUGGAAUGGCUUUGCGUGGUUCCUGGCAUAUGAUGAGCACUCACAUGCCAAGAGCUAUUAUUAUUGUGGUGUGUGGAUGGGGUAGGGGAAGACUGCAUUGAAUGAGAGCAACGAUCCCCAACCACGGAAGGGUCAAUAAAUAAAGCAAGAAAACUAAAUGUAGUUAAUCUCUCCAAUUAUGCUGCCCAAAUUCCGAUCUUCCAAAGUGGGUCAGGAAUAACCAUCACAAUUUUAACACUUUUAGGAAGCUGACUUGCAGAUGCUUGCCUAACUAGGUAAAGGGUAAUGUACGAUAUCAAUAGUCACCCACAUUUGCCUCGUGCUUGCUUUGGGCCAGGCACCAUCCUAAGGGCUUUACGUGGAUUAUCUUGAGGAAACCUGGAAAGAAUUCUGUGAGGCGAGUGUUAUUAUUAUCCCCAUUUGACAGAUGAGGAAAGAUGCACAGAGAGGUUAAGUGAUUUGCCAUAAGGUUACCCAGUUGGGAUUAAAUCCAGCACAGCUCUUAUUCUUAACCACUCUGCAUAUCGACUCUGUCUGGAGGUCUUUUCCAGCUUUGUGUGGAAAGGG
rnacentral:lncRNA from 1 species